UGGGGAAUUUUGGACAAUGGGCGAAAGCCUGAUCCAGCCAUGCCGCGUGCAGGAUGAAGGCCUUCGGGUUGUAAACUGCUUUUGUACGGAACGAAAAGACUCUGGUUAAUACCUGGGGUCCAUGACGGUACCGUAAGAAUAAGCACCGGCUAACUACGUGCCAGCAGCCGCGGUAAUACGUAGGGUGCAAGCGUUAAUCGGAAUUACUGGGCGUAAAGCGUGCGCAGGCGGUUAUAUAAGACAGAUGUGAAAUCCCCGGGGCUCAACCUGGGAACUGCAUUUGUGACUGUAUAGCUAGAGUACGGCAGAGGGGGGAUGGAAUUCCGCGUGUAGCAGUGAAAUGCGUAGAUAUGCGGAGGAACACCGAUGGCGAAGGCAAUCCCCUGGGCCUGUACUGACGCUCAUGCACGAAAGCGUGGGGAGCAAACAGGAUUAGAUACCCUGGUAGUCCACGCCCUAAACGAUGUCAACUGGUUGUUGGGGUCUUCACUGACUCAGUAACGAAGCUAACGCGUGAAGUUGACCGCCUGGGGAGUNCGGCCGCAAGGUUGAAACUCAAAUGAAUUGACGGGGGUCAUAGCU
rnacentral:rRNA from 1 species